rnacentral:rRNA from 1 species
UACGUAGGGUGCAAGCGUUGUCCGGAAUUACUGGGCGUAAAGGGCUGGUAGGCGGCCAACUAAGUCGGAUGUGAAAUCCCCAGGCUUAACCUGGGAACUGCAUCCGAUACUGGUCGGCUUGAAUCCGGGAGAGGGAUGCAGAAUUCCAGGUGUAGCGGUGAAAUGCGUAGAUAUCUGGAGGAAUACCGGUGGCGAAGGCGGCAUCCUGGACCGGCAUUGACGCUGAACAGCGAAAGCUAGGGGAGCAAACCGG